ensembl:lncRNA
GGUGUGUUUGCACAAUAAAUCGUUUGAAGUGAAGUUACAGAGUGUGGGGAAGAUAUGUAGAGUUAAUGCCGGACGCUCACCACCCCGAGAGCCCACCACCGUCACCGUAAUCCACACCCAGGCACUGACCGAAGCAUCUCCCAGCCGUAAGCCCCAUUACUUAUUCAAGAACACCUACUUACUGUUGAUUACUUACUCUGCUGUGCAGAUCGCAGGAUCCUCUGGGCUGAACGCCGCAUGUGAUGUCCCUAUGAAAGGAGGUGGACACAAGAAUUAUUCUUUUCCUGGUUACAACCGAAGCAUCUCCCAGCCAUCGCAGGAUCCUCUGGGCUGAACGCCGCAUGUGAUGUCCCUAUGAAAGGAGGUGGACACAAGAAUUAUUCUUUUCCUGGUUACAACCGAAGCAUCUCCCAGCCAUUGCAGGAUCCUCUGGGCUGGACGCUGCAUGUGAUGUCCCUGUAAAAGGAGGUGGACACGAGAAUUAUUCCUUUUCCCGGUCUCGACCGAAACAUCCACGAGCUCUACUUACCCGGAUAUCCCCCCCUCAUUCCGGGACGGGUGACAGACUAUCCUGGCUCUUGCCGGCCCCGUACAGGCACGAACUGCCGACGACUCCACGCCUCCCCGGCGUCCGAGGUCUGGCUUCGUUCUGGUCGGGAGACACGGAAGGAACACUGAACUUUUAAAUUGCUUUUAACCAAAUAAAACCUUGUUCAAUUUUUUUUAUACUCUCGUCCGUCUGGUUCUUCUGGUACGCUCUCUGAGGUGAUCCUGGGUUUCAGGGGCGGGUGCAGUCCGGCUUGGCCCCCCCGACCUGUGACAUUUGC